rnacentral:tRNA from 1 species
GAAAGUAUAGCUCAGUGGUAGAGCACAUGCUUAGCAUAGGGGAGAUCCUGGGUUCAAUCCCCAGUACUUCCU